rnacentral:rRNA from 1 species
UACGUAGGUCCCGAGCGUUGUCCGGAUUUAUCGGGCGUAAAGCGAGCGCAGGUGGUUUAUUAAGUCUGGUGUAAAAGGCAGUGGCUCAACCAUUGUAUGCAUUGGAAACUGGUAGACUUGAGUGCAGGAGAGGAGAGUGGAAUUCCAUGUGUAGCGGUGAAAUGCGUAGAUAUAUGGAGGAACCCCGGUGGCGUAAGCGGCUCUCUGGCCUGUAACUGACACUGAGGCUCGAAGGCGUGGGGAGCAAACAGG